AGGAGUGAGGAGGUGUGAGGAGGAGUGAGGAGGUGUGAGGAGUGAGGAGGUGUGAGGAGGCUUUGGCACAGACGUUUGCGUCUCCUCACACUUCUGCUUUGCUGACCGCUGAUUAGACGGCGUCUGUCUGCAGCAGAUAAGACGCUCGUCUCUGAGACAGAGAGCGGCUUUCUGUGAGACCAAAGGUGCGUUUCCUCAAACUCCAGAGGAAGAACUCGUUUACAUCUCCGUGACAACACAAACAUGUUUACCAAAGUUUGGAUAAAUAAACUUUAUCUGCUACAAUAAAAGAGAGUGAGAUGAUAAAGGUAUCUUACUAUCUGAUCAUUAAGGAAACAUGUUGAAGUGCUGGCUUCUCUGACAACAAUGCAGCAGCCAGUAUGUCCUCCUUCUAACUUUAGAUUCUGCUCCUGAAUGCUCUGGAUUUGUUUGGACCAGAGAAGGUAGACGCUUUUAAG